AACUUUCAACAACGGAUCUCUAGGUUCUCGCAUCGAUGAAGAACGCAGCGAAAUGCGAURCGUAGUACGAAACGCAAGUCGUGAAUCAUCGAAUCUUUGAACGCACAUUGCGCUGUGCGGCAUUCCGCACAGCAUGCCUGUUUGAGCAAUAUUUC
rnacentral:rRNA from 1 species